rnacentral:rRNA from 1 species
UUUUCCUACGGGAGGCAGCAGUGAGGAAUAUUGGUCAAUGGGCGCGAGCCUGAACCAGCCAAGUAGCGUGAAGGAUGACUGCCCUACGGGUUGUAAACUUCUUUUAUAAAGGAAUAAAGUGAGGCGCGUGUGCCUUUUUGUAUGUACUUUAUGAAUAAGGAUCGGCUAACUCCGUGCUAGCAGCCGCGGUAAUACGGAGGAUCCGAGCGUUAUCCGGAUUUAUUGGGUUUAAAGGGUGCGUAGGCGGGACGGUAAGUCAGCGGUAAAAAUGCGGAGCUCAA